rnacentral:rRNA from 1 species
UACGUAGGGUGCGAGCGUUAAUCGGAAUUACUGGGCGUAAAGCGUGCGCAGGCGGGCUUUUAAGCCAGACGUGAAAUCCCCGGGCUUAACCUGGGAAUGGCGUUUGGGACUGGAAGUCUGGAGUGCGGCAGAGGAGACUGGAAUUCCUGGUGUAGCAGUGAAAUGCGUAGAUAUCAAGAGGAACACCUGAGGUGAAGACGGGUUGCUGGGCUGACACUGACGCUGAGGCGCGAAAGCCAGGGGAGCAAACGGG